rnacentral:rRNA from 1 species
AGAUUGAACGCUGGCGGCGUGCCUAACGCAUGCAAGUCGAGCGGUAACAGGUGUAGCAAUACAUGCUGACGAGCGGCGAACGGGUGAGUAAUGCUUUGGAAUCUUCCCAGUAGUGGGGAACAACCAGUCGAAAGAUUGGCUAAUACCGCAUACGUCUGUGAAGAGAAAGCGGGGGAUCGUAAGACCUCGCGCUAUUGGAUGAGCCAAAGUCGGAUUAGCUAGUUGGUGAGGUAAUGGCUCACCAAGGCGACAAUCCGUAGCUGGUCUGAGAGGACGACCAGCCACACCGGAACUGAGACACGGUCCGGACUCCUACGGGAGGCAGCAGUGGGGAAUAUUGGACAAUGGGGGAAACCCUGAUCCAGCGACGCCGCGUGUGUGAAGAAGGCCCUAGGGUUGUAAAGCUCUUUGUGCGGGAAGAUAAUGACGGUACCGCAAGAAUAAGCCCGGCUAACUUCGUGCCAGCAGCCGC